GGGGUUGUGGCUCAGGGGUAGAGCACUUGACUAGCAUCCAUGGGGCACUGGGUUCAAUUCUCAGCACCA
rnacentral:tRNA from 1 species